AAGAUCAGCACUCACAUACAUUCUUGAGGUUACAGAUUUUUUUUUUUUAAAUGCCACGAACUAAUAUAGAAAAAGAAUUUCUAAAACUCAAAAAUACACAAAAGAAUCAAAUUACCAAAAAUAAAAGAUUUGAACGAAUCCCAUUAACCGAUAAUCCGCGUGCACCACAUACAACCAACAAACACAAUAUGUGCACUUAAAUACCAAAA
rnacentral:misc_RNA from 1 species